rnacentral:lncRNA from 1 species
UCUGCCCUUGCAUUUGAGUUGCGUUCCCUUAUGUGGCAUAGUUGGAAAAAAUUGAUCAGACAAAUGUUUUCGUUUUUUUGUAAAAUACAACCACAAAUAUGAUAAAACAUGUCAUUUUCUAUACCGAAGUGGAAGUUCUUACACAUGAAUUACCCACUACUCUAAAAAUUUGCACAUUCUAUUAAAGAUCUAGACCUUGUUUUCUGGUAUUUCCAAAUCCAAGAUGGAGGAAGAC